rnacentral:misc_RNA from 1 species
UCUCCGUUGGUGAACCAGCGGAGGGAUCAUUACAGAGUUACUAAAACUCCCAAACCCAUGUGAACAUACCUCGCGUUGCCUCGGCAGGUCGCGUCCUACCCUGUACAUCCUACCCUGGAUAGACUUGCCCGGUGGUCGACUCUGCCCUGCCGAUGGCUCAUGCAACUCUGUUUCUCCAGCAUUGGACUUCUGAAAAGUAAACUAAAUCAGUUAAAACUUUCAACAACGGAUCUCUUGGUUCUG